rnacentral:rRNA from 1 species
GUGUCAGCCGCCGCGGUAAUACGUAGGGGGCAAGCGUUGUUCGGAGUUACUGUGCGUAAAGAGUAUGUAGGCGGUUGACCAAGUUUGGUGUGAAAUCUCCCGGCUUAACUGGGAGGGUGCGCCGAAUACUGGUUGACUGGAGCGUGGGAGAGGAAAGCGGAAUUCCUGGUGUAGCGGUGAAAUGCGUAGAUAUCAGGAGGAACACCGGCGGUGUAGACGGCUUUCUGGACCACGGCUGACGCUGAGAUACGAAAGCGUGGGUAGCAAACAGGAUUAGAUACCCCGGUAGUCC